UGCCAACCUGAAAUUAAAGCUGAAAAUGCUUAAUUUUGACCAACUGUGAGCAUGUGACUGUACUUUUUCAUUUUGUUAUGCUGUUUUGUUGAGGUCGUGUUCCUAAGGCCUGUAGUUACAGUUGGUGCUAUUAGCAAUAAACAUUUCACACCCAUCAUGAUGAUGUCUGUUAACUUGUGAAUGUAACUGUCUUGAAAAAAAAAGGAAUCUUGCAGUGAAGAUCAUUCCCGGGCAGUGGUCAGAAAAAAAGAGCUUUGACUUGAAGGGUUUUCCAAGCCAAGACUAUGGAGAUGACUGUGGGAUCUUCAUGCUGAUGUCUGCUCUGUACGUGGCACUGGAUGCACCAUUUGACUAUACUAUACUCUGGCAAGCUAUUUGCACACUGGAGAGAGGAAGCCAAAGCUGUGCUUGAAGGACAACACGUGCCCAUUUUCAGACUGAAAAAGCGCAAGUUCCAGGAAGUCAGUCAGGAGCCAGCAGUUGUUGAAGAUCUGCGUCCUGCUGUGCAGUGGGUUGUCCAAAAUAAGGCACUUUUCCGUGGACACGUAACAAUGCCAAAAUAUCUGUCCUUAAAUCAAGGGGACCAGCAGAGGGUCUUAAGAGACAUGUCAGAGGAAGAAGACACUGGAGCAAGGCACUUGUUCCUCUUUGUUUUUCAGUUUGCAGAAGACAUGGAGCUCUUUUUGAAAGCAUGUGCUGAUGAGC
ensembl:lncRNA